rnacentral:rRNA from 1 species
CCUGACGCAGCGACGCCGCGUGCGGGAAGAAGGCCUUCGGGUUGUAAACCGCUUUCAGGAGGGACGAGGCCACUCGGGUUAAUAGCCCAGAGGGUGACGGUACCUCCAGAAGAAGCCCCGGCUAACUACGUGCCAGCAGCCGCGGUAAUACGUAGGGGGCUAGCGUUGUCCGGAUUUAUUGGGCGUAAAGAGCGCGUAGGCGGCCGAGUAAGUCCGGCGUGAAAUCUGGAGGCUCAACCUCCAGCGGUCGUUGGAAACUACUCGGCUAGAGUCCGGAAGAGGAGAGUGGAAUUCCUGGUGUAGCGGUGAAAUGCGCAGAUAUCAGGAAGAACACCGAUGGCGAAGGCAGCUCUCUGGGACGGUACUGACGCUGAGGCGCGAAAGCGUGGGGAGCGAACAGGAUUAGAUACCCUGGUAGUCCACGCCGUAAACGAUGGGUGCUAGGUGUGGGCGGUGUCGACUCCGCCCGUGCCGAAGCUAACGCAUUAAGCACCCCGCCUGGGGAGUACGGCCGCAAGGCUA